AGGGUGCAAGCGUUACUCGGAAUUACUGGGCGUAAAGGGUGCGUAGGUGGUUUUUUAAGUCCGUUGUGAAAUCCCUGGGCUCAACCUGGGAAUGGCAGUGGAUACUGGAAAGCUAGAGUGCGGUAGAGGGUAGUGGAAUUCCCGGUGUAGCAGUGAAAUGCGUAGAGAUCGGGAGGAACACCAGUGGCGAAGGCGGCUACCUGGACCAGCACUGACACUGAGGCACGAAAGCGUGGGGAGCAAACAGG
rnacentral:rRNA from 1 species